AUGAACGCUGGCGGCGUGCCUAAUACAUGCAAGUCGAGCGAACGGACGAGAAGCUUGCUUCUCUGAUGUUAGCGGCGGACGGGUGAGUAACACGUGGAUAACCUACCUAUAAGACUGGGAUAACUUCGGGAAACCGGAGCUAAUACCGGAUAAUAUUUUGAACCGCAUGGUUCAAAAGUGAAAGACGGUCUUGCUGUCACUUAUAGAUGGAUCCGCGCUGCAUUAGCUAGUUGGUAAGGUAACGGCUUACCAAGGCAACGAUGCAUAGCCGACCUGAUAGGGUGAUCGGCCACACUGGAACUGAGACACGGUCCAGACUCCUACGGGAGGCAGCAGUAGGGAAUCUUCCGCAAUGGGCGAAAGCCUGACGGAGCAACGCCGCGUGAGUGAUGAAGGUCUUCGGAUCGUAAAACUCUGUUAUUAGGGAAGAACAUAUGUGUAAGUAACUGUGCACAUCUUGACGGUACCUAAUCAGAAAGCCACGGCUAACUACGUG
rnacentral:rRNA from 1 species